GAUGAACGCUGGCGGCGUGCCUAAUACAUGCAAGUCGAGCGGAGCGGGGACGGGUGAGUAACACGUGGAUAACCUCCUAUAAGACUGGGUUAACUUUGGGAACCCGACGCUAACCCCAAUACUUAUCAAUGGAUCCUCGCUGCAUUAGCUGGUUGGUAAGGUAACGGCGUACCAAGGCAACGAUGCCUAGCCGACCUGCGAGGAUGAGCAGCCAAACUGGAACUGAGACACGGUCCAGACUCCUACGGGAGGCAGCAGUAGGGAAUCUUGCGCAAUGGGCGAAAGCCUGACGGAGCCACGCCGCGUGAGUGAUGAAGGUCUUCGGAUCGUAAAACUCUGUUAGUAGGGAAGCGUUACCGGAAGAAAAAGCAACGGCUAACUACGUGCCAGCAGCCGCGGUAAUAC
rnacentral:rRNA from 1 species